rnacentral:lncRNA from 1 species
AGAACGAGACAGAUGGCAUCAGCUUCCAUGGGAGACUGCCAGAGAAAGGACACUGCUAGUGGUUACAACUUGCUCUGAGAUGAAUAAAAGGCAUCUUUGCUGGAGCACGUGUCAUUUUGGUGCCAAGGGGCCAGGGGUAGGAGCACCACAAAAGGCAGUGCUGCAAGAGAGAGCUGCUGUGUGCAGGUUUGGGGGCACGUGCCUGGGAAGAAGAAAGGGAGCUGGGCUGGGAGAAAAGAGGCAUCUAUGGCUGUGAGGAGCCCACAGACACCAUGAUCCAGAAGAGAGCACGUCCUGAUAGGAUGCCCAUGUUCCAAUGAGAUAAUCUAGCACGCCCUAGAGUACACUGGGGGGUCCUGUGUCCUAAUGGGCACACACAGGGUAGCCUCCAGGACACAUUAGAGCCCAUGGAGAAGCUCUGGGAACACUCUGGCCUGCAGUAGGGUACAUUGGGCUGUUCUGAGAGGUCUCUAGGGUGCCCUAGAACAUACUAAGGAGCACUCAGGUUUGCCCUAGGGUAUACUGAGGAUCCCUUGAAGUCCUCCAGGACACCCUGAGAAGUCUGCAGCACAUCUCCCCAGCACAUCAGUGCCUUGGAGCAGUUCUGCAGCUGAAAUUGACAGAUGUGCUGCAGGACAGCCAUUUUAGUCAGUGGUCCACGUGUCAGAAAACAAGAGGAAGCAUGACAGCUGCUCCACCCUUCCUGUUCAGUUCGCCUGUGGGAGCUCCCUCUUGUUCCGGCCGUAUCACUGUGUUUGAAUCACUCCGAUCAUAGUUGGACACUGUCCCAGAGCUCCGCUCUGAAGGCUGUUCGGCUUCCCGGCCACAGAGAGACCACAGCACAAAUCAAGGCUCUGACUUUGAACGUGGGAUCUGUCUGUAGGAUUUUAAGGACGAGAGGGUCUUAUGUAGCCGCUUCGCCACACCUCCAGACAAGCGAUGCGGGAAUCACACCCGCUGCCUCAUCAGUUUUCCUGCCCAACAGUGCAGCAGCCGCACAGCCGCCAUCGCCGGGCUCCAGAGUUAACGGUGCCACCGCACAAGCGGGCACGGUGCGGUCCAGCCCGGCCGGAGCUCUCCGCACCCGCAGCCUCCCGAGGCGAUCCCCACCCCCGGAGCGCAGCUUGGGGUGGGCGGCACCUGACGGGAUCCCCGCGGGGCUCGGAGAUCCCAUCCCGCCCUCAGCCCCAGAGCAGCGGGCCAGGACUGCACCGCGGUUCCGUUCCCGCUCGGGCGUUGCCAGCGGCUCCGCCUCCGUGGCCGCCUCAGGUGCUGGCGGGGGGGCGGCUCCCCCCACGCGAGCACCCGCGUUAGGACCCGAGCACGGCUCAGUGCAGCGUUGCCGCUCCGCUCCUGUCCGCUGGCAGAGAGUGGACGCACUGUCAAGUCACAGAUUGAGAGUACAGUGGCUUCUAGGUUUUACUAGCAUCGUUUCUUACUGCAUCUCAGGUGUAGCAAAGCAGCAAAUGCAGUGUUGGUUCAACAGUGACCACUCUUGA